CCCUCUGUGGUGUAGUUGGUAUCACACCGGACUGUAAAUUCAAAGUUGUGAUCCGUUGGUCACCGGUUCGACUCCGGUCGGAGGGA
rnacentral:tRNA from 1 species